rnacentral:rRNA from 1 species
CGUAGGGUGCGAGCGUUAAUCGGAAUUACUGGGCGUAAAGUGUGCGCAGGCGGCGUUGCAAGUCGAGUGUGAAAGCCCCGGGCUUAACUUGGGAAUUGCGCUCGAAACUACGAUGCUGGAGUGUGGCAGAGGAAGGUGGAAUUCCACGUGUAGCGGUGAAAUGCGUAGAGAUGUGGAGGAACACCGAUGGCGAAGGCAGCCUUCUGGGCCAACACUGACGCUCAUGCACGAAAGCGUGGGGAGCAAACAGGAUUAGAUACCCUGGUAGUCCACGCCCUAAACGAUGAUGACUAGUUGUUGGAGGAGUUAAAUCCUUUAGUAACGCAGCUAACGCGUGAAGUCAUCCGCCUGGGGAGUACGGUCGCAAGACUA